rnacentral:rRNA from 1 species
CCUANGGGAGGCAGCAGUAGGGAAUAUUGGACAAUGGGUGCGAGCCUGAUCCAGCCAUGCCGCGUGCAGGAAGACGGCCUUCUGGGUUGUAAACUGCUUUUGCCAGGGGAUAAAACGUCCAUGCGUGGAUAAUUGAAGGUACCUGGUGAAUAAGCCACGGCUAACUACGUGCCAGCAGCCGCGGUAAUACGUAGGUGGCAAGCGUUGUCCGGAUUUAUUGGGUUUAAAGGGUGCGUAGGCGGUUUUAUAAGUCAGUGGUGAAAUACAAUAGCUUAACUAUUGAGGUGCCAUUGAUACUGUAAGACUUGAGUACAGACGAGGUAGGCGGAAUUGACGGUGUAGCGGUGAAAUGCUUAGAUAUCGUCAAGAACACCGAUAGCGAAGGCAGCUUACUAGACUGUAACUGACGCUGAGGCACGAAAGUGUGGGGAUCAAACAGGAUUAGAUACCCCUNUANUC